rnacentral:rRNA from 1 species
UACGGAGGGUGCAAGCGUUAUCCGGAUUUACUGGGUUUAAAGGGUGUGCAGGCGGACUUUUAAGUCAGCGGUGAAAUCUCCGGGCUCAACCCGGAAACUGCCAUUGAUACUAUUGGUCUUGAAUGUUGUUGAGGUGGGCGGAACGGGUCAUGUAGCGGUGAAAUGCAUAGAUAUGACCCGGAACACCGAUUGCGAAGGCAGCCCACUAAGCAACGAUUGACGCUGAGGCACGAAAGCGUGGGGAUCAAACAGG